GAGGAUCAGUCAUCCAAGCUAGCUCAGGCUAAGGCACCUAUGUCUGUUCAGGAUGAGGCAUCCAAGUCGGGUGAAGUUGGGUCAUCUAAGUCAGCUCAGGUAGACUCAAUUUCUUCCACCAAUUCGGGAGAGGAUACGAAACCCCAAGAAGGUAAAGGGACAAAAUCCACCAAUCAGAAGAACCUUGGGGAGAAGACCAAGAAAGAUAAUGCCAAAAAGAAGGAUAAUAAAGGGGAUCAGAAACUAUCCAUGGAUGAAAAUGCGAAUGAUACUCAUCAAUCCAAGGAGCAGGUGAAAGGUGGUCAACAAGACCAAAAAGGAAAGCAAAAACCAACUGGUAAACAAGGCCCGGCCGCGGAAAAGAAAGCUGGUUUGAGCGUGGAUGCAGAGGCUGAGGUUGAAGUUGCGAGGAAUCAGCAGUCAGCUGCUGCGGAAGAAGACGUACCAGAAAAACCGGAUGAUGUCGAAAACACCGGGGACAAUCAAGAAUCUGAGGACCGCGUUGAACCUCCUCCAAAAAGGAUAAACAAUGUUAACACGACAGUUGCUGCAAGGGACAGGCUCACAAUCUACUUUCAUGCGGUUUUGUCAAAGGAUUUCAAACUUGAAGAGGAAGACCGAAUCAUUAUCAGAGCUGGCGACCAUAUUGGGACAUGGAAAGAUAACUUGGCUGAGGUCUUUAUGUCUAAGGAUCUUGGAGACCAUGGAUAUUUAGUUGAGGGAAGAUUUGAAACAACAAAAGAACGCACCUUGUCCAAAAGCAUACCAUACAAAUAUGUUGUCUACAAGGCCAAAAAGGAGAAAUAUGAGUAUGAAUACAUUUACAAAUUGGAUUCAGAGCAACCUACGAAUCGAUGCUUGUUUGUGAAGUCCGGACUCCUCAAUGAGGAAGGGGACUGGCAUCAGUAUGAUGACAUCAUCUGUACAGCACCAUCCAAGGAUAUAUUCAAACGCUUGAAAAACGCUUUUCGGUCUGAGCAAAGGAAAAGUGUCGUUGAAGGCAAAGAGAUUGCAGGGAACAUCAUGCUAGACACCAUAUUCGACCUCCUUCGGAAUUGGACCGACAUCAACUUGAAGAAUUUCCUCAUCCAAUUGAAACAGUUCUUUGACAUUUAUGCAAAUCCGUUUGUGUAUGAAGACACGCACAAGAGGUGGAACUCUCUAGAAUAUGGAGAAAAAGAAGUAUGGAAAUUACUUCAGAUUUAUUAUAUAAUUAAAAAGCUAUCAAGGAUUAUUUCGCAGGAUCAGAUUGAAUUCUACUGCUCAAAGACCGAAGUACUCAGUCGUUCUCAUCCAAACGUGGCUGCUGUUAUCGAGAAGUGUGCUUUAGAGGCGGUCACCUCACUGUGCGAGGGGACACUGUUUACAAAAUUUAAAAUCAACUGGAAUUUUGGAAAACUCAUUUCGGCCAUCAUUCAGAAGUCAUGGCCAAAGGACAGCCAAGGAAGGAAUCCGGAGGAAGAGGUUUUUAGACACAUCCUCUCUUGGACGGCUGCCAAAGAUGUUUUCAAACUACAUGGUAAACAGGACAUCAACUCAAAUUUAGAAAGAUUGGCGGUAGCAAUAUCUACUUUCACAGCCAUCACCGAUCAGCUGGUCAAGGGAAAAAUUAAGAUCAACCUACUCAAGUUCCUCUUGGAAAGACGGCACGCCUUCUUAGCAUUGCUGAGAAUCGGUAAUUGCUAUAUCAUAUUUUAUAGUAUAUUUUACAAACAUGAAAUCCCAAGCCAACUGAGCAGCAUUGAGGCCAAGAGCCUUAACAAUUUCAUGGAGGUUCACACAUUCGACCCGCAGUCCCACCCCCCAAUGGCUGGUGUGGUGACGUACUACGAUCUUGACGAAGACAUCAGAGAAAUGGCUGUUGUCCUGAACACCCACAAAGACAGCUACUUGUUCAUAGGUUGCUGGGAAAAACAGGCAAGGCAAUAUGUAGACCCUGAGGUGCCUGGUGUUGCUGAUAUAAUGGCCACACCGAUCAUGAUACAUGAUGACAUAUUCCAGCCCUCUCAUGAUGAGUAUCAAAACAUAUAUCGUUGCCUGAUGGAUGGCAGCAUAAAGCUCAGGGAGGUUGACACACUCUUCAAAGAUUACACCGGGAAGUACAACGAACUUGAGAAGGACUUUGACAUAAUGUGCAGAGUGGACGUUUCAAAUGACAAACAGUGGAUCAAGCAGAGGGCUCUGCAGAUUCAGCAGUACCACGAACUCCAUCUUGCCGUGGAGUCGGCUAAAGCGAUCAUGCUUGUCAAGGAGACACUUGGUCUUCAAGGUGACUUCAGUAUCCUGCAGACAUUGCUGGAAACGAAUGUAGCCUUUAAAGAAGGACCCCUGAAUCGAAUUGACGAUAACUUGAAUCAGGCCAAGAUGGUUCUCGUGGACAUCAAUUCUUCACGCAGACACUGUCUACAACAGUUGGGACAGAGAGGACUAUUUGUCCAUUGGGUAAAGGAAGCCCUCGAAGACAUCAAUGAGCUGAAGGUGUUUGUUGACCUGGCCUCCAUUUCCGCUGGAGAGAAUGACUUGGAUGUGGAUCGCGUUGCUUGCUUUCACGAUGCUGUCCUUGGCUACUCGCCACUGCUCUACGACCUCAAGAAGGACUCAGGGUUUCAAACCUUCAAGGAUGUGCUGAAGAAACUCUGGAGAGCUUUGGAGAAUGACAGUGACUUGCCCAAGAAACUGGUCGACACUGCACGCCAUCUGGAAUGGCUUAAGACGGUGAAGGAGAGUCAUGGCUCAGUGGAACUCUCCUCUCUUUCUUUAGCAUCCUCCAUCAACACCAAGGGCACCUAUGUGAUCAGUGCACGUAACUUGAGCCUUGACACGGCCUUGAAGCUGCGGAUUCCAGAGGAGCACGACGAGGGUCAGGAAAUGCGCUGGUACACGCUUGAAGACCUACGGGAGCUCCAGAACAAACUCAUGCUCAUGUCUGGGAAAGACCAGGGCCAGCAUGAGGUGGACCACUUUGCAGAGGUCUUUGCCAAUGUCCAAAGACUAGCUGAGGCUUUCAUUGCGUUGUACACAGCUGGGAACCCUCUAUUCAGAAGCUGGGAAGCGUACAUCAAUUGCAGCUUCAGCAAUGAAGCGUCCAGUAUCAUUAUUGACUUCAACCUUGACAAUGUGUCUGAUGUCAUUGCCGUGGAUGGAAAAAUUGACAUUCAGCUUCCCGAGUUGUGCAAGAAAAUUGAGAAGUGCCUCAAUUAUUGGAAGGACUUUGUGGACAAGCAAAGAUCCCAACAUUACUACCUUAACUAUUACACAGCUGAACAGAUUGUAUACCUGUGCAGUAAGCUAUCUCCGCAAAAUGUGGCUGAUUUGGAGGUUGAGGUUUUAAUGAUGCUCUCUUUUGUCAAGCCAAAUUGUACUGCAAAAGAUCUGAGAGAGGUCUGGCAUGCACUCCAGUACGAUAUCCUCACCAACCAAGAAGAACCAAACCUAGACAUUGAAUUUCACACUUUUGUUGAAGUUUACAUGAAGGACAUGAGGGGUUUUCUUCCACAUAUUCUCGACAUAAAAGGCCUCGGUAAAUUAUUGGAAAAACUGGCCAACAAACGAAGCAAAGGGAAUUCGUUCAUAACAAGAGUAAUGCCGAAUGGCCUGACUACUGGGAAUCCCAACCUCAUUGUCUGCUCACAGGAAGAGGUCUUCAACACUUGCCUCUCCAUUUACAUGAGCGAUGAAAAUGAGGCGCUGCCCACUUAUGACGAAGUCCUACUAUGCAACUCCUCAACAUCUUAUGAACAAGUGGAGCUGUUCCUGAGACGCUGUCUCACCCCUGGCUAUAGCGGACGAAAGAUCUACACUCUGCUCUACGGUGACCUUCUGACCUACGACGUGAGCUCCAAAGUCGAGGGUUUCUUCCAGCGUAUGAAACUGCAACGGAGGGAGCAUUACAGACUAGUCAUGGUCUGCAGCUCAGAGCGUGAACAUGCAUAUAUUCCCUCGGCCUUCAGUCAAUACCGCUUGCACAUGGUCCCUCAGGAGCCUACAGCCAGGAUUCAGAGUUACCUGAGCAGUCACUAUCGUGUCCCCGCAGAUGAGUGCAGCGCUGCAGCUGUGUUCAGAGACCGACUCUCUGUUGGAGUUGUGUCAUCGGAGAGAGCUGGCGUGGGUAAAUCCCUCUAUGUGAAGAGACUACAUGGGAAACUGAAGCGAUCGAGCAAAAAGCCAUCAGUGUUAAAAUGCAUUCGCUUGAUUGAACCAAAGGUUGACGAGAAUUCCAUCCUUCAGUCUCUGCUGGAAAGCACCAAGAAAAGUGAUUUGACAAUAUUCCAUUUAGAUGUCACGUCAUCGGUCCGGAAAGGCCUUCAAGACUUUUUAUUUAAAUUGCUGAUCCUUCGUUAUCUGAUGGACUCUGAGGGGAUGAUGUGGAAGUGCUGCAACAAGCAGUUGUAUCUCGUUGAAAUCUUGAGAUCAGCAAUAAAACUCCCCAGUAAUAGCCAAACUAUGGACGGCUCGUUCAUAGAUUGGUUUCCUAACAUCUUCUGCCGACCACCUAAAGAAGUGUUGAUGCUAGAGAUGAAGAAGAACGAGGUUCCUGCCCUCUUCAACAUUGACGAGCCACUGAUGGACGAUGAAGAAUUCAGGAGUGAAGCCUUCCAAAGGCCAUAUCAAUACCUCACACAAUUCCAUAACCGCAGAGAUCUCGACACCUUCAAAUACAAUGCUGUUGAAGGGUCACACGUGGAGUGUCUUCAAAUGCUCCUCAUGUUCUGUGGAGUCAUGGAGCCCUCAUGGGCAGAGAUCAGAAACUUUUCCUGGUUUCUAAACCUCCAGCUAAAAAACUGUGAGACAUCUGUUUUUUGUGACUUUGAUUUAGUUGGUGACACUCUGAAAGGAUUCAAGAGCUUCGUUGUUGACUUCAUGAUUCUAAUGGCGAAGGACUUUGCCACACCAUCACUCAGCAUCUCUGACCAGAGUCCUGGAAGACUUCAGUUUGACGCGAGUGGCCUGCGUGAAGAGGAUUUGGCCCCUUUUCGGAUCAGGAAGCGAUGGGAGUCAGAAUCACACCCAUACAUCUUCUUCAACGGUGACCAUGAGUCCAUGACCUUCAUUGGCUUCCAUCUUCAGCCUAAUGUAAAUAACUUUGUGGAUGCCAUCGACCCCACUUCCAAGAGGAUAAUAAAGAAAGACAUCAUGACUAAGGAGCUGUUUGAUGGCCUAACGUUACAGAGAGUUCCGUUCAACAUCAACUUUGAUCAACUACCAAGAGGGGAAAAGAUUGAAAGAAUCUGCAAUGUCCUUGGAAUCCAGUGGCCCCUUGAUCCCGACGAAACAUAUGAGCUCACAACUGACAACAUCCUCAAAAUUUUGGCAAUCCACAUGCGAUUCAGGUGUGGCAUCCCUGUCAUUAUUAUGGGCGAGACAGGUUGUGGCAAGACUAGGCUCAUCAAAUAUCUGUGUGAAUUGCAAAGAUGUGGAGUGGCUACCGAGAACAUGAAACUGGUCAAAGUCCAUGGAGGAACAAGUUCAGAUAUAAUCUACACCAAAGUCAGAGAAGCUGAAGCGAUAUCUUUGACAAACAAAGAAAACUAUGGCUUUGAUUCUGUCCUGUUCUUUGAUGAGGCAAACACAACAGAGGCUAUCAGCAGCAUCAAGGAGAUCAUUUGUGACCAUACCGUGAAAGGUGAAAGUUUGACACCCAACUGUGGAUUGCAAAUAAUAGCAGCAUGCAACCCUUAUCGAAAACACACAGAGGAAAUGAUUACAAAACUAGAGUCUGCUGGCCUUGGUUAUCGAGUCCGAGCUGAGGAGACGGAUGAAAAGCUUGGUUCCAUCCCACUCCGCCAAUUAGUUUACAGAGUUCAGGCCUUGCCACCAAGUAUGAUUCCUCUGGUGUGGGAUUUUGGACAACUGAAUGACAACACAGAGGAAAUUUACAUUCAACAGAUUGUGCAGAGAGUAGUUGGACUCAAAGCAAUCAAUGGAGAAUACAUCAAGAUCAUCUCAGAUGUCCUUGCAGCUUCUCAGAGAUAUAUGCGAAAAAGAAAAGAUGAGUGCAGCUUCGUCAGUCUGCGGGAUGUGGAGCGCUGCAUGCAAGCCUUCAUCUGGUUCUAUGAGAACCACGCCAUGUUCUUCACGGAACUUGAACAAUUUGAGCCAAAACAGCGGGAGCUGAAGAAUGAAGUACCGCAGAGAGACAGAGCGGUUCGAGACCCUGUCCUUUGGUCUCUGAUCAUGGCUGCAGGGGUCUGCUACCAUGCCUGCUUGGAAAAAAAAGAGAAAUACAGACAGAAUAUCUGUAAAAAGAUGAACUGCACCCCCGUCAGAGUAAUGCAGGAAAUCUCACUUAUGCAGGAUCUACUUUUAAGUGGGGUGCCUAUGGGAGAAACAAUUGCAAAAAACAGUGCACUCAAAGAGAAUGUCUUCAUGAUGGUCCUAUGCAUUGAACUUAGGAUUCCCCUAUUUUUGGUUGGAAAACCUGGAAGUUCAAAAUCUCUCUCCAAAACUCUUGUGGCAGAUGCAAUGCAAGGCCAAGCAGCUCACAGUGAGCUCUUCAAAAAGUUGAAACAAAUCCAUUUGGUGUCCUUCCAGUGUAGCCCUCAUUCAACCCCAGAGGGCAUCAUUAACACAUUCAAGCAAUGUGGUCGUUUCCAAGAAGGCAAGAACCUAAAUGAGUACAUUUCUGUUGUGGUAUUGGAUGAAAUUGGGUUGGCCGAAGACUCUCCUAAAAUGCCGCUCAAAACACUUCAUCCUUUACUAGAGGAAGGGUGCAUUGAUGAUGAACCACUGCCUCACAAGAAAGUUGGUUUUAUCGGCAUUUCCAACUGGGCUCUUGACCCUGCAAAGAUGAACAGAGGCAUCUUUGUCUCACGCGGUGACCCUGAUUUGACAGAGCUCCUUGAGAGUGCAAAAGGCAUAUGCUCAUCUGAUGCAAUGCUCCUGGAGGCGGUAAGAGAUCUCUUCCAGCCCUUUGCGCAGGCCUACUUGAAUGUCUGCCAAAAUCAAGGAAAGGGCUUCUUUGGUCUACGUGACUACUAUAGCUUGGUCAAGAUGAUUUUUGCAAUAACCAAAGGUACUCGACAGAAGCCCAGUGGGUCGAAAAUUGUUGAGGCAGUGUUGAGGAACUUCAGUGGCAAAGACAAUGACAACGUACUCUCUGUUUUCACUGGUAGGCUUAAAAUCGCACCCAAUCUUGAGAGCAUUGACGUGACUGAGCUUGUGAGACAGAACAUUUUGGCGAGCGGACAGGAAGAGUGCAGAUACUUGCUGGUUCUGACUAAGAAUUACGCUGCCCUGCAGAUCUUGCAGCAGACCUUCUUCUCAGAAAGCGAUCAGCCUGAAAUCAUCUUUGGCUCCAGCUUCCCAAAAGAUCAAGAGUACACCCAAAUAUGUCGCAACAUCAACCGAGUGAAGAUCUGCAUGGAAACGGGGCGCACCGUUAUCCUCCUGAACUUGCAGAACCUUUACGAAAGUCUCUAUGAUGCUCUUAACCAGUACUACGUCUAUCUCGGAGGACAAAAAUACGUAGACCUUGGACUCGGAACCCAUCGUGUCAAAUGCAGGGUGCAUCAGGACUUCAGACUCAUCGUCAUCGAGGAAAAGGAGGUUGUCUACAAGCAGUUCCCAAUACCACUCAUCAACCGGCUAGAGAAGCACUACCUGGACAUCCACACUGUCCUCAAGAAGGAGCAGAAGAGUACUGUGAAGAAGUUGGAAAGAUGGGUGGAGCAGUUUGUUUCUCUCAGCAAACAACCCACAGUGGGGCCUCAGACGUACAAGUACCAAGCACCAGACGUCUUCAUCGGCUACCAUUCGGACACAUGUGCUUCAGUGAUUCUUCAAGCGAUUGAAAGGAGCAGGCAGGAUCUGGAAACAUCUGAAACAUCCGAAGCAGAUAUACUGCGAGCAUCUGAACUGGUGCUGCUGAACUGUGCCACACCUGACUCAAUAGUGCGCCUAGAUUGCACAAUGCUCCCAAAGGUCGAAAGUGAAAGACUGUCUCAAGUGUACUUUGAAGAGCAGAAUACCAGUUGUUUGGCUGACUACAUCCUUGCUCACAUGAACCAGGAUACCCAUUGGCAUGCCUCCUUCACUGAGGUGACUACUUUCUCCAGGCUUCUCACAGCCUCAGACUUGGAACAACUGGAGCAGUUACCUCAUGCUGUGGAGCUGUUAUCCCUGCAGCAGUUUGAAACAGAGCAGUCUUUCCUCAAGAAGAUCAGGUUUGUAUUGAUUUUCACCUUUAGAAACUGUGGGGUUGGCAACAAGAUCCUCAUCAUUCAGAGUGAUUUUGAUGAAGCAUCUCACAGUGCACAUCUUAUUGCAUCUGCAAAGUAUUCAUCCCUGAAUGAAAUGAACAAGAUCACACAAGCUAUUGUGGAGAACAAUAUAUUUGUCUACUUCAUCACCAAACUGCCAAGGAUGGAAGGGGGAACUUCUUACGUUGGCUUUCAUGGAGGGCCAUGGAAAUCGGUUCAUAUUGAUGACCUGCGGAAAUCCGAGGAUAUCGUAGCAGAUAUCAAGGCUCUGCGAAACCUAACAAUCAGUGAACUGUUUGACGAAAACCGAACUAAGCCCGAAGAAGUUGAAAACCAAUUGGGAUGGGACUACGUCCUGGACACCACAGCUCUGGUACGUAGCUGUGUGCAGAGUGCAGUGGGCCUGCUGAGGGACCAAGUAGAGAACGGCUACCGCAGUACCAAAAGAGUGGAGAUCUUACUGACCCUUCUGAACGACAACGAAGACUUCAGAGGUGAAUUUCUUAGGAUUUUGAAGAGGCGCCUUCACUCCUUGUUGUUGACCCAGGAUGUCAACCCUCAUUCGUUCAAAAGCAACUGGGUGAUAAAGGAGGCCUCAAAUAUUGAUGCCUUGCAGGAAGGAGGAACAUUCAGGCACACACUAUGGAAGCGUAUCCAGGCGGUUGUCAUUCCUUACCUAGCCCAGCUGGUCUCCGUCAUCGACCGAGAUCAAAAUCUGGACAUUUUGCUUGACACCAACUGCAAUGAGCCUCUCAAGACAUUGUGGCUUGACAUCUUUGGCGCAGAGAAGCUGUUGGAAGUGCCAUCGCUGACUAUUGAUCUCAACUCUGCGACAAGAAGCAUCCUGGUGCAAAACUGCUUUGCUCUAGACAAGAACCUCAGCUGCAUCAUGCCCUUCAGCUGGAGGAUAAAGGACUACCUGGAGGAGCUCUGGGUUUAUGCUCGUCAGCAUGAAGGCCAAACACAGAGUCAGUUUGAUGAGUUCUUCUGGAGGACUCCCCUCGGUCGAUCCAUCGCGAAAGCAAGCCCGGAGAUGCAGUCCGAGUUUUUCCAGCGAUACCUACAGGACUUUAUCUCCAUGACGAUGAAUGUCAGGUCCCAGGAAAACCUUCAGAUCCUUCGCAGAGCUCUGAACUGCUGUGUUAAUGAGAUGCAGUCGCGGGCAAUGGAGACUGAUAAGGAGGGGACCUCUCUUCCCUGGGUCCAUGCUGCCUACCACGAGUUUAAGAACCGAUUGCAGAACUUCGCCAGGAUGUUGGUACGUCCAAAUUACUUGCCUUGUUUUUCUAUGCCCUCCAAGCAAGCCUGGCUGAGACAGGUGAAAAAGCUCCAGGUUCCCAUUGAGUUGAUAUGCUCUCAAGACAGCGGUGGUCUUGACAGAGGUUCUACUUCUUAUAAUGUUCUUAUGUUUAGGAAUGGGUGGAACCGCAUUUUUACCAUGUCGCUGUUUGUGGAGCACAUGUUGCUGGGUGAUGAGGAGGCCGAGAUGAAUCUGAAGCCUUUGGUUCUGGACCACAUGAGAAUCCUGGAGAGGAAUUCAGACCUAAAAGAGCGGCAGGCGUUUGAGGAGGUGAUUGGUGUACUCAAAGCCUGCAAAGAUAAAGUGGUAGAGGGCAUCUUCAGGUUUGGCCCCCAACGGUGCCCUGUGUGUAUGAUGGACCCUCAAGAUCCCCUCAGCCUGCCCUGUGACCACAUCUACUGCGUGGCCUGCAUCAAAAAAUGGCUGGGCCCUGGUCAGAUGUACUGUCCCUUAUGCAUGCAGCCUGUCCCUGAAGACUUCUCCACAACGUUUCAAACCAAUCAACAUGCCAAGUUCAGGAAGCAGUGCAAUGCUUUCUUCAUAGACCUGGUUUCCACCAUGUGCUUCAAGGACAACACCCCGCCCUGUUCAGCCAUCGUCCUCCAUCUGCUGUCAUUCCUCAUGCUGGAGGCCAAACCCCUCCCCAUAUUUAGAGGGGAUCGACAAAUUCUGACCAAGGUCCUCUCGCCGUUUGACGAGUCUGUGGACAAAAACCCAGUGGUGCGCUCCUUUGUCCUCAAACUGCUGCUGAAGUUCAGCUUUGAGCAGGUGAAAGGCUACCUGCAGCAGCAUCUGACCGAAGUGGAGAAGAGCCUCAUCUUGGAACCGACUGAUAAAACCGAACUGUACUCCAUGUACAUUAACUGCCUGGAGGACUCCAUGUUUGAGCGGACGCAGUUCCGUUCCGGUGCCGCGCAACAGGCCUACCUGCAGGACGAGAGGGUCUUUCUGUCCAGCUACACGCGUGCAGCAUGCCAAGACAGCGCUACUGUAGAGCAUCUGCAGCAGGUGGCCAGGGUGCGCAUGGGCCUGGACAUGGCCGCCACUCUGCUGGUACAACAAAUGGAAGGUGCCUCCAUCACAGACUUCCUGGACGCCGUGGUGAAGCUGUGCAUUCAGAGCAACAACGACUGGUUCCGCGUCUACCUGAUCCGCAAGAUCUGCACUCAACAGGGCGUGGAGUUUGUCCAGAGUCUCCUCAAAGUGGAGGCUGUGCACUGGCUCUUCCCUGAAGAAGUUCUCCAGCAGGUACUGAGUGAAGAAGGCAGCGCCAUUGAUCAUUUCCUCGUGUGCGGAGAGGACUACAAGACCAUUCGAGAUGCUCUGGCCACAGUGCUGAUCGAGGGCAAAGUGGAUGUGCUGGAUAAAUGCUUGCCACAAACGAAGGCGGUGUAUCUUCUGUUGGCCCUCUUCAGAGAAGUCACCUCUCUCUACGGAAAUGCCAACGCUAGUCGCCAUCCCACACCCGAGGUACGCCCCUGCAUCACAAACACAUCCUUGAUUCUCCUCGCUUCUAUGAAGAACUUUGCGAAGGCCUUGGUGGCCAACCGUCUGGGGCCCUUGGCCGCCGUCCCCGGGGCCCCCGGGGGUCACUGUGCGGUGGUGGAGCUGACGGUCCACAUGGCCUCGGUCCUUCUCUGCGCCAACCAGAGGAUCCUCGUUCCCCUUCAGAACCUGGCCCUGUCAACAGGGAACAUGCAAGUGAGUCGAGCCUUCCUGCCCACCAUGCCAGAGGACAUGUUGUUUGUAGCUCAACAGGCCAUGGGAGCGGUGCACUGGUACUAUUGUCCAAAUAACCACCCCUGCACCAUCGGAGAGUGUGGUCAACCCAUGGAACAAAGCCGUUGUCCGGACUGCGGCGCGGCCAUCGGAGGAAACGAGCACAGACCUGUGGCUGGAUUCACUGCUGCUCAAGCAGCGGGCGACCGCACCCAGACGGGCCAUGUCCUCGGAGACCCGGUGCGCAGGGACAACCCGGACACCCUGGACACCAAGAACAUGUCCCCGGGGCCCUUCACCCUGGUGCGCAUGCUCACCCACAUGGCCAUGCUGUAUGGAGCCAGCAUCAACCCACAGCUCAUCGCUCAGAUCAUCAAACCUCCGGUGGCUAAUCCAGGAGCCUUCCUGUUGGCCCACCUGCUGAAGGACAUGGAGCAUCUGACCAAGUCUCUGGGGAAGGGGACGGACGACACCAUCCACACGGUUCACCUGUUGCUCUGCGGCCUGCUGGAGCCUCACCAGGUUCAACAAUGGCCCGAUCCUUACGACAACCAUCUCUCCACCAAAGACCACAGGAACGGCUGGGAGAUGUCCGUCAGCAACACCAUCAUCAUACCUCAACUGAAGCACCUGGACAGACGGCUGAAGGAGGCCAACGACCUGGUCCGGGCCGACGCCCGUGUGUCCUGUGACCCCGUCUUCAAGCUGAUGUUCGGGGACCCGCGCCUCUUCCUGGCCUCCCUGCGCCGCGGCUCCCUGAUCCACGGCCAGGCGGUGUGGAGCUGCAGGGAGGAGCUCUCCCUGCUCAGCCUCACGCACAUCGUGGAGCAGCACGACGGCAAAGACACGCUGCCCCUCCUCUGGAGGUUCCUCCAGAGGGAGGCGGAGCUGCGCUUCGUGAAGUUCCUUCCAGACAUCCUAACACUCCAGAAGGACCUGGUGAAGAAGUUCCAGAACAUCAGCGACCUGCCCUUCAGAACUAUCGGCGACUUCCUCAACAGUCAGAAACCAGGUGCUGAAAGUGUUCUGUCAGCGAGAUGCAUCACCAUCUUCCUGGCCACCUGGAAUAAACUCAGGGCUUCCUUGGCAACAAAUGGAGAGAUUAAGAUCCCGGCAGAGCUGUGCGAAGAAGACCUGGACAUGGACAGUGACCUCACGGUGCUGUUGCCACGGAGACAGGGCCCAGGGCUGUGCUCUACAGCCCUGGUCAGCUACCUGAUCGCCCUGCACAACGAGAUCAUCAAAUGUGUGGACAAGCACACCGGAGAACACACCAGCUACGAGGUGAGCCCCGCCGACCUGACGGACCAGCAGGUGAUCCGCUACGAGCUGGACCAGGAGCUGAUGCCGCUGGUGCUCGCCAACAGCCAGUACAGCCUGGAGCGAGGCAAGGAGACGCUGCACGAGUACGACCUGGCCAAGAUCCAGCAGCAGGUCCUCACCCACUUCCUGCAGGGCCGGCCAAUCAUCACCCUCCAGGGCAUUCCGACCCUGGUGAACAGACACGAGCGGGACUACGUGAUCAUUCUGAAGGACGUCAAAGAGAAAGUGGAGCAGAGCCUGAUGGCGUCCUGCCUGGCGGCGGAGCUGCAGUCGUACAGCGAGGUGUGCGAGGCCCUGACCACGGUGGAGGUGGCCCUGGGCUUCCUGGCCAUGACGGGGGGGGACCCCCACAUGCAGCUGUCCUGUUACCUGGAGGAGGUGCUGCAGAUGAAGGACCAGACGGCCCCCCACGUCCUCAAGGCCCUGACUGUGUGCCGGCUGAGGCACUGUGUGGCCCUGUGGCAGCUCCUCACCUCGCUCAAGUCCCAGAACAUGAUGCGGCUCAAGAGGGAUCCGUUCGCGGCGUUCCCCGGGGCCUACAAGCAGCCUCUGAGCGACGAGGAUCGCAGGCUGCUGUCAGGGUUCUUUGUGAAGCCCGUCGCCGAAGGCUUCCUGCUGGAGAUGCACGAGUUCCUCGUGCUGGAGCUGAAGAACCCCCACGCCCCUGACAAGUACCGACCGGCCUGGGGGCUGAGAGACACGGUGGUGUCCUACAUUGAGCGCAAGGACCUGGAUGUUUCUCCUGAGGUGGAAGACUUGUUCCCAGAAGAGAUCUGCCUCUCUCACUUCAUCGAAGCGUGGAAGUUCAGUGUGGUCUUCAAACAGGAGAACAGCAGUCAGAGAUCUUGAUGUUGACAUGAUCGAUCAGGGAGAUCUGUCCUAGAACAGCUCAGAUAAUGUUUACAUUCUAUUUUGAUAA
ensembl:lncRNA